ACGGCUCAGUAACACGUCGAUAAUCUGCCCUUAAGCCUGGGAUAACCUUGGGAAACUGAGACUAAACCCGGAUAAAAUAUUAUUGCUGGAAUGCAUUCUAUUUGAAAGGUAACACUUAAGGAUGAGUCGGCGCCGGAUUAGGUUGUUGGUGGGGUAACGGCCCACCAAGCCAAAGAUCCGUACGGGCCAUGAGAGUGGUAGCCCGGAGAAGGACACUGAGAAACUGGUCCUAGCCCUACGGGGUGCAGCAGGCGCGAAAACUUUACAAUGCACGAAAGUGUGAUAAGGGAAUCCUAAGUGCUAAUACACAGUAUUGGCUUUUGCCAAGGGUAAAUACCUUGGAGAAUAAGUGGUGGGCAAGGCUGGUGCCAGCAGCCGCGGUAACACCAGCGCCACAAGUGGGAGCCACGAUUAUUGGGCCUAAAGCGUCCGUAGCUGGUUGGGUAAAUCUUUUGUGAAAUCGGAAAGCUUAACUUUCCGGCGUGCAGAAGACACUACCUGACUUGAGACCGGGAGGGGUAAGGAGUAUUUCCAGGGAACCGGUAAAAUGGGAUAAUCCUGGAAGGACUACCUGUGGCGAAGGCGCCUUACCAGAACGGGUCUGACAGUGAGGGACGAAGGCUAGGGGAGCGAACCGGAUUAGAUACCCGAGUAGUCCUAGCAGUAAACUCUGCGGGCUAGGUGUUGCAUCAUCCAAGUGAUUAUGCAGUGUCGUAGCGAAGGCAAUAAGCCCGCCGC
rnacentral:rRNA from 1 species